rnacentral:rRNA from 1 species
GAUGAACGCUAGCGGGAGGCCUAACACAUGCAAGCCGAGCGGUAUUUGUUCUUCGGAACAGAGAGAGCGGCGCACGGGUGCGGAACACGUGUGCAACCUGCCUUUAUCUGGGGGAUAGCCUUUCGAAAGGAAGAUUAAUACCCCAUAAUAUAUUGAGUGGCAUCAUUUGAUAUUGAAAACUCCGGUGGAUAGAGAUGGGCACGCGCAAGAUUAGAUAGUUGGUGAGGUAACGGCUCACCAAGUCAAUGAUCUUUAGGGGGCCUGAGAGGGUGAUCCCCCACACUGGUACUGAGACACGGACCAGACUCCUACGGGAGGCAGCAGUGAGGAAUAUUGGACAAUGGGUUAGCGCCUGAUCCAGCCAUCCCGCGUGAAGGACGACGGCCCUAUGGGUUGUAAACUUCUUUUGUAUAGGGAUAAACCUACUCUCGUGAGAGUAGCUGAAGGUACUAUACGAAUAAGCACCGGCUAACUCCG